AAUUGACGGGGGCCCGCACAAGCGGUGGAGCAUGUGGUUUAAUUCGAUGCAACGCGAAGAACCUUACCUGGCCUUGACAUAGUAAGAACUUUCCAGAGAUGGAUUGGUGCCUUCGGGAACUUACAUACAGGUGCUGCAUGGCUGUCGUCAGCUCGUGUCGUGAGAUGUUGGGUUAAGUCCCGCAACGAGCGCAACCCUUUUCCUUAUUUGCCAGCGAGUAAUGUCGGGAACUUUAAGGAUACUGCCAGUGACAAACUGGAGGAGGGCGGGGACGACGUCAAGUCAUCAUGGCCCUUACGGCCAGGGCUACACACGUGCUACAAUGGUCGGUACAAAGGGUUGCUACCUAGCGAUAGGAUGCUAAUCUCAAAAAGCCGAUCGUAGUCCGGAUUGGAGUCUGCAACUCGACUCCAUGAAGUCGGAAUCGCUAGUAUUCGCGGAUCAGAAUGCCGCGGUGAAUACGUUCCCGGGCCUUGUACACACCGCCCGUCACACCAUGGGAGUUUGUUGCACCAGAAGUAGCUAGCCUAACUGCAAAGAGGGCGGUUACCACGGUGUGGCCGAUGACUGGGGUGAAGUCGUAACAAGGUAGCCGU
rnacentral:rRNA from 1 species